UUAGUGGCGGACGGGUGAGUAACGCGUGGAAAACCUGCCGUAUACCGGGGGAUAACACUUAGAAAUAGGUGCUAAUACCGCAUAAGCGCACAGCUUCGCAUGAAGCGGUGUGAAAAACUCUGGUGGUAUACGAUGGUUCCGCGUCUGAUUAGCUAGUUGGUGGGGUAAUGGCCUACCAAGGCAACGAUCAGUAGCCGGCCUGAGAGGGUGAACGGCCACAUUGGGACUGAGACACGGCCCAAACUCCUACGGGAGGCAGCAG
rnacentral:rRNA from 1 species